GGUGCCCACGGGGUUUAGUUGUACUAAAAUGUUGUGGACAUCUGUGUAAAAAUGGUUAAUUGUGCUGUGACCACCUGCCAAAAUGUGUUUGAUGGUAAAAAUAAUGUAAAUUGCAGAAGUUUCUUUGUGUUUCCUAAAGGCGGUGAACUACGAAAAGCUUGGGCUGAAAGAUGUGGGUUACGAGAAUCUGAUCUGAAGGAAUCUGCUCGUGUAUGUUCAGAUCAUUUCGCGGAGUGUGAUUACAAACCAACCAAAAAAAGAAAAUUGCUUCUUCCGGAGGCGGUGCCUUGGGUGGACGUACCUGGGGCAGGCAUCGUUCUGAUUAUAAGGCCUGCAGAGCAUGGUCAGAGUGCCCUGUUUGAGAGGGCGAGGACUGGCGGCUCCCAGCAGGACUGGCAGCAGGGAGCAGGACCCAGUGGGAUGACAGCUGCCAGCAGGCACCAGCCAGAAAACAGAACUGGUACCAGUUUGAAGGACAUCCCUGAAGGCCAUGCAGGUGCCCUCUCCACCUCAUCUCGCAUCCAAACGCAACCAAACGACGUCCAUCACCAAAGCGGCGCGCGGAGGACACCGCCUGCGGGGCUGCGGCUGUGGCGCGCCUCCGAGACCACGCUCCGCUUACAGAACCGCCGGCUGCUGGCGGACAACCAGCGGCUGCGGCUGCGCCUGCGACAGCUGCACCGCCAGCUGGCCCGCCGACGACCGGUGGCGGCGCGCCCGGCCGGCGGAGGACGCGGUGACGCACGCGCCGCCACGCGGGAGGCGUAGCGAACUGCAGUAGGACGCGGAGUGCAUAGAGGGCGCGACAGACGAAACGUUGGGAUUCGGGCAUGGAUGGCGUGGGGGGCAGGAAAACAAGAGGCUUGUGCGCUGGGAUUCCGCGUCCAAAUCGGGAGAGGUUCAACAGCUGAACAUGGGGAACUGCGAGUUGUCGCAUGGCGAUUGCGAUGGGGCUGCCGGAUGUGCUGGUUGAGUGGCGUCGGUAGUCUUGAGUCAUCACAACGCGGGCGAACAAAUCUGGCUCUCGGCCCCCUGGAAUGAACUGGGCUGCCAUAUGUGUCUCCGAAACUGGCCAAGGGUGGCAUCCAGAAAGGCCUAACAUCAGCACCAGCUGCGUCGGCCCGUGAUCUUUGUCUCGCCAGCUGUUUGCGCUGAGGCCUAUUACCCUGGUGCGUGAAUACGGAUUGAUAGCGCCCCCUCCCCUCCCCCCCCC